rnacentral:lncRNA from 1 species
AUGCUCUCAGGACACAUGCCUGGGGGUGCCCAUGGGAUCCUCUCGCUGCUGACCGUGGUCUUCGUCCUCCCAGAGGUGUCCGGACUCCAGUGUUAUGGCUGCAACAUUAUCGUUGGCACCAAAAACGUGGACAUGGGAUGCUCCAACCCAGAGGUGAUCACCUGCUCCCACUCCCACCAGGGCUUCAAACACCGGUUCUGCAUUAAGACAGAGAGUGGUGAGUUUGCCCCGGGGGGGCGCUGGGGCAGCAGGGGGUGCCGGAUCGAGCUGGUGAUGCUCAAAAAAAUAAUCAAAACAAGCCUUGAAGCCUUCACACGGGACCUGGCCCCUGGCGCAAGGCUGGCAGAGCAUCACCCUCCAUCUGGCUGUCACCCCCCUGCCCCUGACGUCCUGCCCUGUGCUUGCUUUGCAGUGGUCCUGGGCAUCCUGCUGACCAGCGGCUGUGCCACCUCCCGUCACUGCCAGCAGCAGGAGCUGCCGGGGGUCCGCAUCCACUGCUGCGACACAGACCUCUGCAACGGCUCCCCCCGAGCCCCCCGGCCGCCCCCUGGCCUCGCUAGUGGCCACCUCCUGCUGCCCUGCGUCCUCGCUGCGCUGCUCCUCUCCUGAGCCCCCCAGGACUGGGGUGGGGGGGGAAAAGGGACCCUCAGGGGGGAGGCUGGGACAGGGCUGUCCCCACCCCUGCUCUUACAGGUGGGCAGGACGCCCUCCUCUCCCCUCUCCUCAAUAAAAGGUGCCCUGGAAAGGUUUCA